UGCAUUCGAAUAAGAACGCAGCGAAAUGCGAUAAGUAAUGCGAAUUGCAGAAUUCAGUGAGUCAUCGAAUCUUUGAACGCACAUUGCGCCCUGUGGUAUUCCGCAGGGCAUGCCUGUUCGAGCGUCAUU
rnacentral:rRNA from 1 species